GAAGAGAAUUUCCUGAAGCAAUAUUUGUCAGUACCCAAGCUGACUCAAACUAUAAAGAUAAAAAUAAUUUCAUUAUCUUAUUAGAAUUUAAUAGCUUGUUUACUUAUAACAAUAAGGUUUUCUGUGCAUGAAGAAAAGAAUCUGAGAUCAUUAUUUACACAUAAUCUAUCAGGUAAAUACUAUAUUAAUUUUAAAUGAAGAAUUCCUGAAGAAAUAACCUUAGCCUAGAGGAAUACUCAGGGUGUCUAAAAUUUCAGAUCAAGGCAGAGCUGACAUGAGACCGUAAGAAGAAUGAGGGAGUGCUUCAUAUACUGACAUGGAAUGAUCUCCCAAGACAUAAAUGGAGGAAAAAGAAAAACAAUGCAGAGUGAAAAAGGCAGAAGACAACUGAAAUGAUAAGUAGUCCGAAAGGAGUUAACGGGCAUACAACUAACAGAAAUGGCAACUUCAGAGCAUAAGAGCUUCCAAUAAAUAAGAAGUCUCCAAACCAAGGCACAGAGGAAAAUGAACUAUGAAGUGGGUACAAAAGCCAACUUUCCUACAAGAAGAAAGGCUCAAAGUUCAACAGAGAGUCAUCAGCAUCUGAGACCAUGUCAAAAAAAUGAAAACUUUGAGGAAAAGCAACCUGUGAAGAAUGAAUAAGAUCAGCAUACAUAGCAAUCUAUAUCAAAGAGAAAAAGGUUUGCAGUGAGAUUUUGAUGCAAAAGAAAUGGUGACAAUAAACUGAGUAGAUAAAGGAUAUAUUAAAGAGUUAUCAAUGAGAAGAAAUUAGAAUGAUAAUUGCUAACAGAAGUCAAACUGCUGUUUGUCUGAUGAGGUUUAGCCCCAAAGGUCUCCCAGAAAAAGAGAGAUUUCCAGAUGCCACUGAAAUGAAUAAAAUGGAGAAGCAAAACAGAAUAGAGUGACAAUGAUUAGGAGAAUGGAGAAUAAGUAAAUAACAGCCAGAACAUGAAUGGAAGAAACUCGGAAGUUAGGACUUCUCAACAAAAGAAGAAUGUACCAGAGUUAUGUUUAUCACUAAGAAGUACAUAAUGAUUAUAACCUCUGAAUGCAAACAAGAUUCAAGGUCUCUCUUGGUAAGAAUGGAAAUCAGAAAGUAGUUUUGCCAUUACCGGGGAAAGAAGUAGAUGAAUAACUAUAACCAGAGGGCCAGUGAAAACUCAAAUCAUAUUCAUGGAUUAAUGAGGCAUUGAAACACACACACACACACACACACACACAAACACACACACACACGGCACUGAUUACUGUGAUGUUUACCUUGUAAAAACUUAUCAAGCUCUAUUUGUGCAAUUUUCUAUACCCAUGUGUAUAUGUGUGACAUGAGAAGGAGGCGGGAGGAGAGAGAGUGAGAGACAGAAACAGAGAAACAGAGAGAGAGGCAGAGAGAAAGAGAGACUGAGAAUUCCUCAUGAGUAUAGACCCCUAUUAAAGUGUUGGAAGAAGCAACUUUCAAAUGUGUUUAAUAUGUAAGUAUGUUUUAAAAAAACUGGCUGUACUUUGAACUAUGUAGUUUCUCUUUCACUGGGUAUCGCAGUCUUUAUUUUUUUGAGUGGGGUGAACAUUUCUGUCUCAGGUCCCAGACUAGAUUUUAACAUGAAAGAGAGUUGUGAAAUGGGAAUGUCCAGAGUUGAUACCAAAAGCAAUUGCAUAAAGUUAUAAUAGAAAUGGCCAGAAAAGGUAAUUUAAGUAACCAUGCAACUCAAGAAAAACUCAGCAACAAGAUGAAAUGAGAAAAACUUAAGAAAUGGUAUCACCUGAAGUAGUACCCCAAACUAUUAUAAUCUUUACUCCUCUUUGUU